AUUGAACGCUGGCGGCAUGCCUUACACAUGCAAGUCGAACGGCAGCACGGGAGCAAUCCUGGUGGCGAGUGGCGAACGGGUGAGUAAUAUAUCGGAACGUGCCCAGUCGUGGGGGAUAACGCAGCGAAAGCUGUGCUAAUACCGCAUACGAUCUACGGAUGAAAGCGGGGGAUCGCAAGACCUCGCGCGAUUGGAGCGGCCGAUAUCAGAUUAGCUAGUUGGUGAGGUAAAGGCUCACCAAGGCGACGAUCUGUAGCUGGUCUGAGAGGACGACAGGCCACACAGGAACUGAGGCACGGUCCAGACUCCUACGGGAGGCAGCAGUGGGGAAUUUUGGACAAUGGGCGCAAGCCUGAUCCAGCAAUGCCGCGUGCAGGAUGAAGGCCUUCGGGUUGUAAACUGCUUUUGUACGGAACGAAACGGUGAGCUCUAAUACAGUUUGCUAAUGACGGUACCGUAAGAAUAAGCACCGGCUAACUACGUGCCAGCCGCCGCCGUAAAAC
rnacentral:rRNA from 1 species